AUUGAACGCUGGCGGCAGGCCUAACACAUGCAAGUCGAGCGAGCGGCGGACGGGUGAGUAAUGUCUGGGAAACUGCCUGAUGGAGGGGGAUAACUACUGGAAACGGUAGCUAAUACCGCAUACCAUCAGAUGUGCCCAGAUGGGAUUAGCUAGUAGGUGGGGUAAUGGCUAACCUAGGCGACGAUCCCUAGCUGGUCUGAGAGGAUGACCAGCGACACUGGAACUGAGAUACGGUACAGACGCCUACGGGAGGCAGCAGGGGGGAAUAGUGCACGAUGGGCGGAAGCCUGAUGCAGCCAGGCCGCGUGGAUGAAGAAGGCCUUGGGGUUGGAAAGUACUUGCAGCGGGGAGGCGUUACCCGCAGAAGAAGCACCGGCGAACUCCGUGCCAGCAGCCGCGGUAAUUC
rnacentral:rRNA from 1 species